AGGUUUCCUUGUUGACCUCCGUUGGUCCACUCUUUUGAACUCUUUUGUUUAACUUUUAUUGUUUUAUCAAAACCCAUCUCUGAAAGAACAGCCUCGAUGAGUUACAUGUCCAGACCUUUAGUCCAGGAACGCGAGCCAGAAUGCCGAGCGCAAAGAGAGUCCCAGGUCUGGACUAGUGCUUGUUGAGCUAGAUCAAAAGACCCCCAUCUCCCCAAGAUCAUGGACACAUCCAGCCCCUCACCCAAGCCCUGAAGGGGAUCUUCACAAAAGGACAUGGACAUGCCUCUUUCUGUCUUCAGGAUUCCAAAGCUCCUGGUAGGGAUCUGCACACAAGUUUUGCACAUACCAUUUUUUUAUUUUCUCGUCAAAAUUCACUCACACACCACAAAUAUUACAAAUUUAGCUUGCAGUAAACAGUACAAUAUAUAAUAUAUGUAUAUAUAUAUUUUACAAUCUUAUAAAUAGUAUUUGUAUAGCUACAUAAGUCCUUUGUAUUUUGGGCUGUAAUAGUUUUUGUCAAAUUUGUACACUGUUUUUUUUUAUUUCAUCUGCAUCCAUAUUCAAUACAGAGAAAUCUUUAACUAUUGCAAUGCUGUUCAAUCUUUUUAAAAACAGCCAACACUUGCAAUAAAAAUAAUUUUGUUCAAAUGCCCACUUGCAUGAACAUUGCAUCAUAUGUGAGUUUUAUUGAACUCAAAUUAAAUCAGGAGAUAAAGCUUAACAGCAUUUUCCAUGAACCAAUGGGGGGCAUGGGGGCUUUAGCCCCUGACCUUUCAAUGCAUUCUUUGUCAUACUAGCCUUGCUGUACUGCCAAUGUUUUGUAAAAUCUUCAAUUUUGAUCAUAGCAUUUUGAAAUACACAAUACUUGGCAAUAAAAAUAGGGAGUCUGUCUGAUACAACUAAAAUUCGUCUGUGAAUUAAUUUUAGCUGCUUUGUCUCUCCCUCAGCACCUGAUCUGCUAAUAAUAUGAACUCCAUUCCAUAUUUAGCUUAAGUCAACUAGACCCCCCUAAAAAAUGUUGAGCAACCAAAUCUCAUCUUAAGAGCUCAACCAAAUACUGUUUGCAGUACUCAUUGGCUACACUAUUCCCUCCGUGAAAUGAUACAUCUACAAAUUUAUCUAAAAUCCGUUGUGAAGGAAUAGGUCGCAUGCAAGGGGUCGGCAAUGUUUGGUCUAAGCCGCCAAUGACAGUGUUUAGAGCUUAUUACUCUAUAAAAAGCGACUGCAAAGAACGCUGGGUUACCCAGGAUGCAGCAGUGCUUCUGCUGUUGAGCAACAAGAGAUAUCUUGGAUUCACAUGAGCAAAAAUAAAUUCAUAAUAUAU